AAACACAGAACGGUAUAAACCGUAAAGGUCUGAAUCAUGGAAGAAGCAAUGAACCAAGAGUGUGUUUCUAAUACUGAUGUUCCUGAAGCUAAGCCUGUGUCAGGAACAUAUGCCUCCCAAUUCGAAAAAUCAAAAGCACAAAGUGAUAUACCGGUUGCCACUUCAAAACAAACAUCGACCGAGUUCUUCUCCCACAAGUACAAGAUGGACUAUCCAAACAGGGGUAAAGCUAUCAUCAUCAACAACAAGACAUUUAACGCAGGGACCGGGCUAAAUGUCCGGGAAGGCAUGGACCAGGACGCCUCCGCUCUCUACAACUGUCUGUCUAAGCUCAAAUUUGAUGUAGAUCUCAAACACAAUCGUACAGCGGACGAAAUAAAAGCUACACUACAGAAAGCCGCUAAAUUGGACCACAGAGACAAUGACUGUUUCAUCUGCGCCAUUCUGUCCCAUGGGGGUGACGGUUAUAUAUGGGGGACAGACAGAAUGAUCCCCAUUAAUGACCUGAUUGAGCCCUUCAAAGGCAACGAAUGUCUCUCUCUGGCAGGAAAACCCAAAAUCUUCUUUAUCCAGGCUUGCCAUGAUGACAUGAACGUCGGAGACGGCAAAGAAGUAGAGCCUCAGUUUUCUCGCCUGAAGAUCCCGUCAGAGGCCGAUUUUUUGAUUGCUUGCUCUGUUGUUCCAGAGCUUCAAUAUUGUAAAAUGAUCCUGACAAACAAGAUGAGACUAGUUUUCUGUAGAUGAUUGUCCCUAGGAGGUUUGAUAAUAAAUUAAGGUUACUACUCCUGGAGAAACGAGAGAAACAAGGCCAAAUGCCCCUCGUUCGUCCAGGCGCUGUCUGAUGUCCUGGAGAAGCAUGGUCAGAAAAUGGACCUCCUGACCAUGAUGACACAUGUCAAUCAAAUCGUAGGCAAAAAGUUUCAGCCCGACACAUCACACCCAGACAUGAACGAGAAGAAACAGAUCCCAUUAGUUACCUCCAUGCUGACCAAGGAGGUUUACUUCACCAUCAAAUAGAGGGGGCCAGUCCAGGAUAGCGAGGGGCGAGGUCUUUGAUGGGUGAAACGGGCCCCCUGUCUCAUAACUUUAAGGGCACCUGCUCAACUGAUCAUGUGAUACGCGUACUACCAGAGAGUGAUUGAGAAACAUUGUGUUGUCUUGAUAUAAAUGAUUAUCAUUACUGUAAACAUUGGAUAACUCUAAUUCUGUAUAGUAAUGAUGUCAAGCUGUUAUUUUGAGUGUUAUUGUACAAUUAUGUUUGCAAUUUAUUAAUAUUAUAAUAAUUAUUAAACAUAUACGAAGGUCAAUAAAAAAAUACGAAGAC
rnacentral:misc_RNA from 1 species